UACGGAGGGGGCUAGCGUUGCUCGGAAUCACUGGGCGUAAAAGCGCACGUAGGCGGAUUGUUAAGUCAGGGGUGAAAUCCUGGAGCUCAACUCCAGAACUGCCUUUGAUACUGGCGAUCUCGAGUCCGGGAGAGGUGAGUGGAACUGCGAGUGUAGAGGUGAAAUUCGUAGAUAUUCGCAAGAACACCAGUGGCGAAGGCGGCUCACUGGCCCGGUACUGACGCUGAGGUGCGAAAGCGUGGGAG
rnacentral:rRNA from 1 species